UACGUAGGGGGCAAGCGUUGUCCGGAGUUACUGGGCGUAAAGCGCACGCAGGCGGUCUCUUAAGUUUGGAGUGACAGUUGGUGGCUUAACUGCCAAAGUGCUUCGAAAACUGAGAGACUUGAGGGCUUCAGAGGGACGACGGAAUUCCGGGUGGAGUGGUGAAUGACGUAGAGAUCCGGAGGAACACCUGAGGUGAAGACGGGUUGCUGGGCGUGACACUGACGCUGAGGCGCGAAAGCUAGGGUAGCAAACGGG
rnacentral:rRNA from 1 species